ensembl:lncRNA
CUAUUUGAAAUGUUACCCAUUUAUUUUCAAAAAAGGCAAUAUAUACCAAAGGAAAACUAAAUUGGCAUAUUUUAAUUCUACAAAAAUGUAUAAAUAUUUAAAUUUACAGCAAAAGAACAAUUAUAUCAUCUAGUAAUGCUUACAGUAUUUAAAAUGUGUCAUUAUGCACAAUCUACUUUUAUAAAUGUUAAAGCACUAGGUGCCAAGCAUAUAUCUAAAACAUUUUUGAAAUUACUCCUUUCUAGCUGUGGCUAUACUGACCAAAACAACAACAACAACAACAACAACAAAAGCUGAAAUAGAAAAACACACACACACACACACACACACACAAGAAACAAAAAAACACAUGUAAUCAUUCUUUUUCCCCCUUGUGCUAUUUUUAGCUGAAAUUUCAGUACAACUGGAACCAAGCAGUGGCUUACUUUCAUUUUCACACCAAUUGAAUGCAUGAUGAAAAUCUCAUUGUAAAAAAGUGUUAUAGCCUUAAUCAUCUAAUUUUCCAUUCUCAUUCUAACUCUUUAAAAACAGAAUAUUGAGUGAUUUGUUCUCCCCAGCUAAAAAAAAAACAAAAUAACUUUAUAUAACGUAACACAAGUAUCGCAGAAGUGGUCUUUAUCUUAAAGGAUCCUUAAGAAAAGAGCUGCCCUGAAUUCACUAGUAUUUCAGAGGGAUUUUUCUUUUAAAACACAUACAAUGAAAAGUGUCUUUAGAAUUUAUUGACCAAUAUCAAAGAAACUGGGCUACAAAUAUACACAAAUUAUUUAAAACACAUUGCUGGUGCUCAUUCAACACUGUAAAUUCAUACACAGCUGAUACUUAGUAGCAGUUCGAACAUGGUGUAGUCACAACAGAUGUGUCCAUGUGCUGUACAUAAGAGGGGCUGAUUUCACCUGUUCCAUAUUUUGACAUAUUGGGGAAAAUGGGCAGAGGUGGAAUCCUGAAACACAAACUGCCUUAAGAUCUAAUUGAAUUUUUGCUGCCCAACUGAAUUGGAAAUUUAUUCAAGAUUUGCAGCAGAUAUCAGCUAUGCAGGAUGACAGCUAUGGAUGGUGACACAUCCAUGACAAAUCUGAAUUUCUAAAAUUCUUCAAUUUGUGAAAUCAGUACACUUUAUAACUUAAGAAUGCAUACAUGUUUUGCCUCCUCUGAGACUAGAUUUAGCAUCUGUAAGUGAGAUGCAAGUAAAAUGGUUGUGAGCAGAUACAAUCAUCAUUUCUUAAGUGGUAAAACCAUGUGUGGGGGAGACAGUAUUUUGAGGUUUACUGAACCAAUUCAGAAUAUGUUCCUAACCUCCCACCAAAUUUUUUAAAAGGUAAAAACAGUUCUGUUUUAGUGUAGUUAUUUUUUCUCUCUCUGUACACUUUUUUCCCUUUUAUUUAUUAGACUGUUUCUAAGCACCGUGGCAAAAUCAAAUUUAUAGAUUGUGUUUACUAGAGUUUACAGAGCUCCACUGGGAAGCCUAGAAAUCUCUGCUGAUUUCGCUGCAGUCUUUGAAGCUCCAUGUCAUAGAACCUCCCCAGUCUUCACAGUAAUAGAUGGUCUAAUUCUCUGUGCAAGCUGUGGGCCAAACCUUACUUUUAACUUGAAGAUAAUUAGAAGGAAAAAUGAAAGUGAGUAUGUUCCAUUAGUUACUACUGAAGACGCUUUGCUUCCCUGAAACCCAGUUUGCCAAAUAAUGAUUGGAUGUUCCUGUAAUCAUGCUGUUUCUUAGUAGUUUAUUUCUGCUGUAGGUCUUAGUGCUUGUAUUAUUUUAAAGAACUAAUUUUAUUUAAAUAAGUAGUAAGAAUUUAAAUAUUUC